rnacentral:rRNA from 1 species
GACGAACGCUGGCGGCGUGCCUAAUACAUGCAAGUAGAACGCUGAAGGAGGAGCUUGCUUCUCUGGAUGAGUUGCGAACGGGUGAGUAACGCGUAGGUAACCUGCCUUGUAGCGGGGGAUAACUAUUGGAAACGAUAGCUAAUACCGCAUAAGAGUAGAUGUUGCAUGACAUUUGCUUAAAAGUUGCAAUUGCAUCACUACCAGAUGGACCUGCGUUGUAUUAGCUAGUUGGUGGGGUAACGGCUCACCAAGGCGACGAUACAUAGCCGACCUGAGAGGGUGAUCGGCCACACUGGGACUGAGACACGGCCCAGACUCCUACGGGAGGCAGCAGUAGGGAAUCUUCGGCAAUGGACGGAAGUCUGACCGAGCAACGCCGCGUGAGUGAAGAAGGUUUUCGGAUCGUAAAGCUCUGUUGUAAGAGAAGAACGAGUGUGAGAGUGGAAAGUUCACACUGUGACGGUAUCUUACCAGAAAGGGACGGCUAACUACGUG